rnacentral:tRNA from 13 species
GCCUCCGUGGCGCAAUCGGCUAGCGCGUUCGGCUGUUAACCGAAAGGCUGGAGGUUCGAACCCACCCGCGAGCG